rnacentral:rRNA from 1 species
UACGGAGGGUGCAAGCGUUAUCCGGAUUCACUGGGUUUAAAGGGUGCGUAGGCGGGCAGAUAAGUCAGUGGUGAAAUCUCCGAGCUUAACUCGGAAACUGCCGUUGAUACUAUUUGUCUUGAAUACUGUGGAGGUAAGCGGAAUAUGUCAUGUAGCGGUGAAAUGCUUAGAUAUGACAUAGAACACCAAUUGCGAAGGCAGCUUACUACACAGCGAUUGACGCUGAGGCACGAAAGCGUGGGUAGCGAAUGGG